GUUUGGUUAAGUUAGAAAGGGCGCACGGUGGAUGCCUUGACACUAGGAGUCGAUGAAGGACGGGACUAACGCCGAUAUGCUUCGGGGAGCUGUAAGUAAGCUUUGAUCCGAAGAUUUCCGAAUGGGGAAACCCACCAUACGUAAUGGUAUGGUAUCCUUAUCUGAAUACAUAGGGUAAGGAAGACAGACCCAGGGAACUGAAACAUCUAAGUACCUGGAGGAAGAGAAAGCAAAUGCGAUUUCCUGAGUAGCGGCGAGCGAAACGGAACAUAGCCCAAACCAAGAGGCUUGCCUCUUGGGGUUGUAGGACAUUCUAUACGGAGUUACAAAGGAACGAGGUAGACGAAGCGACCUGGAAAGGUCCGUCGUAGAGGGUAACAACCCCGUAGUCGAAACUUCGUUCUCUCUUGAAUGUAUCCUGAGUACGGC
rnacentral:rRNA from 2 species